UCCCUUCUGGCUCAGAUGGGAAAGCAUCUGCCUAUAAUGCAGUAGACCCAGGUUCAAUCCCUGGGUCAGGAA
rfam:Ovis aries breed Texel chromosome 1, whole genome shotgun sequence.